rnacentral:ribozyme from 13 species
UUUUUUUUUUUUUUUUUUUUUUUUUUUUUUUUUUUUUUUCGGUGAAUCC